rnacentral:rRNA from 1 species
GGCGCACGGGUGAGUAUCACGUGGGUAAUCUGCCUCGACGACGGGAACAACCUUCCGAAAGGAGGGCUAAUGCCCGAUAAGACCAAGUCAGCUUCGGCUGAUGCGGUAAAAGGAUGGCCUCUGUACACAAGCUAUCGCAUCGAGAUGAGCCCGCGGCCCAUCAUGCUAGUUGGCGGGGUAACGGCCCACCAAGGCUAAGACGGGUAGCUGGUCUAAGAGGACGAUCAGCCACACUGGAACUGAGACACGGUCCAGACUCCUACAGGAGGCAGCAGUUAGGAAUCUUGCGCAAUGGGCGAAAGCCUGACGCAGCAACGCCGCGUGAGUGAUGAAGGCCUUCGGGUCGUAAAGCUCUUUCAGAAGGGACGAAACCGUUCCGGGAUAAUAAACCGGAGCCUUGACGGUACCUUCAGAAGAAGCACCGGCUAACUCUGUGCCAGCCGCCGCGG